UAGGGAAUCUUCCACAAUGGACGCAAGUCUGAUGGAGCAACGGCCGCGUGAGUGAAGAAGGUCUUCGGAUCGUAAAGCUCUGUUGUUUGGUGAAGAAGGAUAGAGGCAGUAACUGGUCUUUAUUUGACGGUAAUCAACCAGAAAGUCACGGCUAACUACGUGCCAGCAGCCGCGGUAAUACGUAGGUGGCAAGCGUUGUCCGGAUUUAUUGGGCGUAAAGCGAGCGCAGGCGGAAUGAUAAGUCUGAUGUGAAAGCCCACGGCUCAACCGUGGAGCUGCAUCGGAAACUGUCAUUCUUGAGUGCAGAAGAGGAGAGUGGAACUCCAUGUGUAGCGGUGGAAUGCGUAGAUAUAUGGAAGAACACCAGUGGCGAAGGCGGCUCUCUGGUCUGCAACUGACGCUGAGGCUCGAAAGCAUGGGUAGCGAACAGGAUUAGAUACCCUGGUAGUCCAUGCCGUAAACGAUGAGCGCUAGGUGUUGGGGCACUUUACCGGUGCCUC
rnacentral:rRNA from 1 species